AACGAACGCUGGCGGCAGGCUUAACACAUGCAAGUCGAGCGCCCAGCAAUGGGAGCGGCGCACGGGUGAGUAACACGUGGGAACGUGCCCUUUGGUUCGGAAUAACGUAGGGAAACUUGCGCUAAUACCGGAUAAGCCCUUACGGGGAAAGAUUUAUCGCCAUUGGAGCGGCCCGCGUUGGAUUAGCUAGUUGGUGGGGUAAAAGCCUACCAAGGCAACGAUCCAUAGCUGGUCUGAGAGGACGACCAGCCACACUGGGACUGAGACACGGCCCAGACUCCUACGGGAGGCAGCAGUGGGGAAUCUUGGACAAUGGGGGAAACCCUGAUCCAGCCAUGCCGCGUGAGUGAUGAAGGCCUUAGGGUUGUAAAACUCUUUCGGCGGGGACGAUAAUGACGGUACCCGCAGAAGAAGCUCCGGCUAACUUCGUGCCAGCAGCCGCCGUAAU
rnacentral:rRNA from 1 species